UACUAUUUUAUUUAUUUAUUUUAGUGAUGCUAAUAUUUGUCACAAUUGUUGGACGUUUGUCAAAAUUGCCAUCAAAAUCAUUGACAGGGCCCUCAGUGAGGACUUUGGUUUUUCCCAUCGUCUUUGGGUUUACAGCGGAAGGAGAGGAGUCCAUUGCUGGGUCUGUGACCCUCAGGCUAGGAAACUGAGUCAGUCAGCAAGAACUGCCAUUGCAGAGUAUCUUACGCUAGUUAAAGGAAACGAUCAACAAGUGAAGAAGGUCAGUCUAAAGCAGCCAAUCCAUCCUUCAAUAAAUAAUGCCUUGGGUAUCAUUGAUGAAUAUAUUGAGACACUAG